GCCGAAACAGCUCAGUUUGGAGAGCGUUAGACUGAAGAUAUAAAGGUCCCUGGUUCAAUCCCGGGCUUCGGCA
rnacentral:tRNA from 1 species